CAGUACUUAAGUUUACCAGAUUAAAGCGAAAAAAUGCAAUUAAUUUAAAAAAAAAAAAAAUUCAGCAGUAAACAAUAAUAAAGGAAAACGAGCAGAGACCAAAGGUGAUUCAUAUGUCAUACUUAAGAAAAAUGCAAUUGUUCCUUAAAAGAUACAAAAGUCACACGCCGUCCUUGUGUCUGCUAAACGAAACAGGAAGAGUUUGCCAAAUCAGCGAAGAGGUUAAAAAGUUAUAUUUACGAUUACUUACGACACAUAUACACGAAAUGCGAAAACGAAAUGACAUUUUAGACGAUGGCAUGUUUCUGCAGAGGUAGUACUUGGCUCUAGUGACUUGUAUAGAACAACAACCCUUAUUAAAUGAUUGGGUCAAAGGAGAAGAAUUACAAAUCAUUUUCCAUUUCUAAGUAACGUGUACACACAUCAGUUAACACGAGCUGUGAGCAAAACUUCAAUUGUGUAAACCCUAAUUAUAAUUUUACCAUUGAUGAAAUUAUGUAAUAACAACUUUUUUACGCCUUAAAACUUUUUAAAGCACGAAUAAUUUAUAAGAGAUAAAUUAUCAGUGAACAAAAUUACAGUUGGUUUCAAUGUUUAUCUCUCUUAAAAUGAAAAUUUUUCUAAUCUAAAAAUUAGUUCAUAAAAUGGAUUAAGUCUUACAUAAAGGAUAAUAUUAGCUAUUUAUUAUUAUUUUUUUUAAUUGUAAACUUUGCUGAGAUUCUCAAUUCAGGUUUAAUCUUAAAAUAAAUUAUUUUUACUUGUUUCAAUGCGGAACAAAACGAAUAAUAGCGCAGUUCCGUAACUGUUACGGCAAGAAAACAGAAUUACUGUCGCGUGUUGUUAUAUAGAAUACCGGGUUAAUAAGCCAUUCUUUCAUAAACAGAUUUUAUUAUUCUACAAUUAUUAAAGCUUAAAAUUAUAUUUUUCGCUAAUUAAGUUGCAAAUAAUUAUGAUUUAAUGUAUUUAAAACUUACUUUAACUUUGAUAUGA